rnacentral:rRNA from 1 species
AGAGUUUGAUCCUGGCUCAGAACGAACGCUGGCGGCGUGCUUAACACAUGCAAGUCGAACGCGAAAGGGACUUCGGUCCUGAGUAGAGUGGCGCACGGGUGAGUAACGCGUAGAUAACCUGUCCUUAUGUCUGGAAUAAUACGUCGAAAGGUGUACUAAUACCGGAUAUUCUUGCUUUUCAUAAGCUAGGCAAGCUAAGGUGGCCUCUGACAUAAGCUACUGCACAAGGAGGGGUCUGCGUACCAUUAGCUAGUAGGUGGGGUAAUGGCCCACCUAGGCGACGAUGGUUAACGGGUCUGAGAGGAUGAUCCGUCACACUGGCACUGGAACACGGGCCAGACUCCUACGGGAGGCAGCAGUGAGGAAUAUUGCGCAAUGGGGGCAACCCUGACGCAGCGACGCCGCGUGAGUGAGGAAGGCCUUCGGGUCGUAAAGCUCUGUCAAAGGGAAAGAAGUGUAUGGUGGUUAAUACCCAUCAUAUUUGACGGUACCCUUAAAGGAAGCACCGGCUAACUCCGUGCCAGCAGCCGCGGUAAUACGGAGGGUGCAAGCGUUGUUCGGAAUCACUGGGCGUAAAGGGCGCGUAGGCGGUUUGAUAAGUCAGAUGUGAAAGCCCACGGCUUAACCGUGGAAGUGCAUUUGAAACUGGCGGUCUCGAGUCCGGUAGAGGUGAGUGGAACUGCUAGUGUAGAGGUGAAAUUCGUAGAUAUUAGCAAGAACACCAGUGGCGAANGCGGCUCACUGGACCGGUACUGACGCUGAGGUGCGAAAGCGUGGGGAGCAAACAGGAUUAGAUACCCUGGUAGUC